rnacentral:rRNA from 1 species
AGUACGUUCGCAAGAAUGAAACUCAAAGGAAUUGACGGGGGCCCGCACAAGCGGAGGAGCAUGUGGUUUAAUUCGAUGAUACGCGAGGAACCUUACCAAGGCUUAAAUGUAAUAUGACCGGUUGAGAGAUCAACCUUUUUUCGAACAGAUUACAAGGUGCUGCAUGGUUGUCGUCAGCUCGUGCCGUGAGGUGUCGGGUUAAGUCCCAUAACGAGCGCAACCCCUAUUUUUAGUUACCAGCGAGUAAUGUCGGGAACUCUAGAAAAACUGCCUGUGCAAACAGAGAGGAAGGUGGGGAUGACGUCAAAUCAUCACGGCCCUUAUGUCUUGGGCUACACACGUGCUACAAUGGUUACUACAAUGUGAUGCCAUCUGGUGACAGAGAGCUAAUCAAUAAAGGUAAUCUCAGUUCGGAUUGGAGUCUGCAACUCGACUCUAUGAAGUUGGAUUCGCUAGUAAUCGUAUAUCAGCCAUGAUACGGUGAAUACGUUCCCGGGCCUUGUACACACCGCCCGUCAAGCCAUGGAAGUUUGGGGUACCUGAAGUCAGUAACCGCAAGGAACUGCCUAGGGUAAAACGAAUAACUAGGGCUAAGUCGUAACAAGGUAACC